AAUAAAUACCUCGAUCGAGGGUAUCGCAGACAAAAUAGACUUUCAAUUGUUAUGGGACAGCCGGAUGCCGCUUGGGGAUUGUCGGGUUAACUGUCACUAGACAUUU